rnacentral:rRNA from 1 species
AUAGCUGUCCUGGCUCAGAACGAACGCUGGCGGCAGGCCUAACACAAGCAAGUCGAGCGCGCCCUUCGGGGUGAGCGGCGGACGGGUUAGUAACGCGUGGGAAUAUACCCGACACUAAGGAAUAGCCUCUGGAAACGGAGAGUAAUACCUUAUACGCCCUUCGGGGGAAAGAUUUAUCGGUGACGGAUUAGCCCGCGUUAGAUUAGAUAGUUGGUGGGGUAAUGGCCUACCAAGUCUACGAUCUAUAGCUGGUUUUAGAGGAUGAUCAGCAACACUGGGACUGAGACACGGCCCAGACUCCUACGGGAGGCAGCAGUGGGGAAUCUUGGACAAUGGGCGCAAGCCUGAUCCAGCCAUGCCGCGUGAGUGAUGAAGGCCUUAGGGUCGUAAAGCUCUUUCGCCAGAGAUGAUAAUGACAGUAUCUGGUAAAGAAACCCCGGCUAACUCCGUGCCAGCAGCCGCGGUAAUACGGAGGGGGUUAGCGUUGUUCGGAAUUACUGGGCGUAAAGCGCGCGUAGGCGGAUUAGUCAGUUAGAGGUGAAAUCCCAGGGCUCAACCCUGGAACUGCCCUUAAUACUGCUAGUCUUGAGUUCGAGAGAGGUGAGUGGAAUUCCGAGUGUAGAGGUGAAAUUCGUAGAUAUUCGGAGGAACACCAGUGGCGAAGGCGGCUCACUGGCUCGAUACUGACGCUGAGGUGCGAAAGUGUGGGGAGCAAACAGGAUUAGAUACCCUGGUAGUCCACACCGUAAACGAUGAAUGCCAGUCGUCAGCAAGCAUGCUUGUCGGUGACACACCUAACGGAUUAAGCAUUCCGCCUGGGGGAGUACGGUCGCAAGAUUAAAACUCACAGGAAUUGACGGGGGGCCCGCACAAGCCGGUGAAGCAUGGGGCUUUAAUUCCCAAGCAACGGCGCAGGAACCUUUACCAACCCAUUGACAUCCGUCUGGACCGGCCGGAAAAGAUCUUGGGUUUCCACUUCCGGUGGACCCGAUAUGACAGGGCGCUUCCAC